rnacentral:rRNA from 1 species
AACGAACGCUGGCGGCAUGCCUAACACAUGCAAGUCGAACGAGACCUUCGGGUCUAGUGGCGCACGGGUGCGUAACGCGUGGGAAUCUGCCCUUGGGUUCGGAAUAACUCAGAGAAAUUUGAGCUAAUACCGGAUGAUGACGAAAGUCCAAAGAUUUAUCGCCCAAGGAUGAGCCCGCGUAAGAUUAGCUUGUUGGUGGGGUAAUGGCCCACCAAGGCGACGAUCUUUAGCUGGUCUGAGAGGAAGAUCAGCCACACUGGGACUGAGAUACGGCCCAGACUCCUACGGGAGGCAGCAGUGGGGAAUAUUGGACAAUGGGCGAAAGCCUGAUCCAGCAAUGCCGCGUGAGUGAUGAAGGCCUUAGGGUUGUAAAGCUCUUUUACCAGGGAUGAUAAUGAUAGUACCUGGAGAAUAAGCUCCGGCUAACUCCGUGCCAGCCGCCGCGGUAACAC